AGAUUAAGUUAUUAAGGGCGCACGGUGGAUGCCUUGGCACUAGAAGCCGAUGAAGGACGUUACUAACGACGAUAUGCUUUGGGGAGCUGUAAGUAAGCUUUGAUCCAGAGAUUUCCGAAUGGGGAAACCCAGCAUGAGUUAUGUCAUGUUAUCGAUAUGUGAAUACAUAGCAUAUCAGAAGGCACACCCGGAGAACUGAAACAUCUUAGUACCCGGAGGAAGAGAAAGAAAAUUCGAUUCCCUUAGUAGCGGCGAGCGAAACGGGAAGAGCCCAAACCAACAAGCUUGCUUGUUGGGGUUGUAGGACACUCUAUACGGAGUUACAAAGGACGACAUUAGACGAAUCAUCUGGAAAGAUGAAUCAAAGAAGGUAAUAAUCCUGUAGUCGAAAAUGUUGUCUCUCUUGAGUGGAUCCUGAGUACGACAGAGCACGUGAAAUUCCGUCGGAAUCUGGGAGGACCAUCUCCUAAGGCUAAAUACUCUCUAGUGACCGAUAGUGAACCAGUACCGUGAGGGAAAGGUGAAAAGCACCCCGGAAGGGGAGUGAAAUAGAACCUGAAACCGUGUGCUUACAAGUAGUCAGAGCCCGUUAAUGGGUGAUGGCGUGCCUUUUGUAGAAUGAACCGGCGAGUUACGAUUUGAUGCAAGGUUAAGCAGUAAAUGUGGAGCCGUAGCGAAAGCGAGUCUGAAUAGGGCGUUUAGUAUUUGGUCGUAGACCCGAAACCAGGUGAUCUACCCUUGGUCAGGUUGAAGUUCAGGUAACACUGAAUGGAGGACCGAACCGACUUACGUUGAAAAGUGAGCGGAUGAACUGAGGGUAGCGGAGAAAUUCCAAUCGAACCUGGAGAUAGCUGGUUCUCUCCGAAAUAGCUUUAGGGCUAGCCUCAAGUGAUGAUUAUUGGAGGUAGAGCACUGUUUGGACGAGGGGCCCCUCUCGGGUUACCGAAUUCAGACAAACUCCGAAUGCCAAUUAAUUUAACUUGGGAGUCAGAACAUGGGUGAUAAGGUCCAUGUUCGAAAGGGAAACAGCCCAGACCACCAGCUAAGGUCCCAAAAUAUAUGUUAAGUGGAAAAGGAUGUGGCGUUGCCCAGACAACUAGGAUGUUGGCUUAGAAGCAGCCAUCAUUUAAAGAGUGCGUAAUAGCUCACUAGUCGAGUGACACUGCGCCGAAAAUGUACCGGGGCUAAACAUAUUACCGAAGCUGUGGAUUGUCCUUUGGACAAUGGUAGGAGAGCGUUCUAAGGGCGUUGAAGCAUGAUCGUAAGGACAUGUGGAGCGCUUAGAAGUGAGAAUGCCGGUGUGAGUAGCGAAAGAUGGGUGAGAAUCCCGUCCACCGAUUGACUAAGGUUUCCAGAGGAAGGCUCGUCCGCUCUGGGUUAGUCGGGUCCUAAGCUGAGGCCGACAGGCGUAGGCGAUGGAUAACAGGUUGAUAUUCCUGUACCACCUAUAAUCGUUUUAAUCGAUGGGGGGACGCAGUAGGAUAGGCGAAGCGUGCGAUUGGAUUGCACGUCUAAGCAGUAAGGCUGAGUAUUAGGCAAAUCCGGUACUCGUUAAGGCUGAGCUGUGAUGGGGAGAAGACAUUGUGUCUUCGAGUCGUUGAUUUCACACUGCCGAGAAAAGCCUCUAGAUAGAAAAUAGGUGCCCGUACCGCAAACCGACACAGGUAGUCAAGAUGAGAAUUCUAAGGUGAGCGAGCGAACUCUCGUUAAGGAACUCGGCAAAAUGACCCCGUAACUUCGGGAGAAGGGGUGCUCUUUAGGGUUAACGCCCAGAAGAGCCGCAGUGAAUAGGCCCAAGCGACUGUUUAUCAAAAACACAGGUCUCUGCUAAACCGUAAGGUGAUGUAUAGGGGCUGACGCCUGCCCGGUGCUGGAAGGUUAAGAGGAGUGGUUAGCUUCUGCGAAGCUACGAAUCGAAGCCCCAGUAAACGGCGGCCGUAACUAUAACGGUCCUAAGGUAGCGAAAUUCCUUGUCGGGUAAGUUCCGACCCGCACGAAAGGCGUAACGAUUUGGGCACUGUCUCAACGAGAGACUCGGUGAAAUCAUAGUACCUGUGAAGAUGCAGGUUACCCGCGACAGGACGGAAAGACCCCGUGGAGCUUUACUGUAGCCUGAUAUUGAAAUUCGGCACAGCUUGUACAGGAUAGGUAGGAGCCUUUGAAACGUGAGCGCUAGCUUACGUGGAGGCGCUGGUGGGAUACUACCCUAGCUGUGUUGGCUUUCUAACCCGCACCACUUAUCGUGGUGGGAGACAGUGUCAGGCGGGCAGUUUGACUGGGGCGGUCGCCUCCUAAAAGGUAACGGAGGCGCUCAAAGGUUUCCUCAGAAUGGUUGGAAAUCAUUCAUAGAGUGUAAAGGCAUAAGGGAGCUUGACUGCGAGACCUACAAGUCGAGCAGGGUCGAAAGACGGACUUAGUGAUCCGGUGGUUCCGCAUGGAAGGGCCAUCGCUCAACGGAUAAAAGCUACCCCGGGGAUAACAGGCUUAUCUCCCCCAAGAGUUCACAUCGACGGGGAGGUUUGGCACCUCGAUGUCGGCUCAUCGCAUCCUGGGGCUGUAGUCGGUCCCAAGGGUUGGGCUGUUCGCCCAUUAAAGCGGUACGCGAGCUGGGUUCAGAACGUCGUGAGACAGUUCGGUCCCUAUCCGUCGUGGGCGUAGGAAAUUUGAGAGGAGCUGUCCUUAGUACGAGAGGACCGGGAUGGACAUACCUCUGGUGUACCAGUUGUCGUGCCAACGGCAUAGCUGGGUAGCUAUGUGUGGACGGGAUAAGUGCUGAAAGCAUCUAAGCAUGAAGCCCCCCUCAAGAUGAGAUUUCCCAACUUCGGUUAUAAGAUCCCUCAAAGAUGAUGAGGUUAAUAGGUUCGAGGUGGAAGCAUGGUGACAUGUGGAGCUGACGAAUACUAAUCGAUCGAAGACUUAAUCAAAUU
rnacentral:rRNA from 1 species